AACAACCACUACAACAACAACAACAACCCCUGCACCAAUAGUGUGGAGCUCAGUUGUAGAUGGACCCUUUGGAGGCACAGGUGGAUCAGCCUGGUCAGAUUCAGGGGAGGUUCAUAAUGGACCUCCUACUGGUAUUUUUGUGAGGGCAAGUUCCACAAUAGAUGGAAUUGAAUUCGUGUAUGGAAAUGUGGCAGGUGCACAACAUGGUGGAACUGGAGGAUCUGUUUUCUCUUGUAAUUGGAAAUCAGAUGACAAGGUUCUCACUGUUAAGGGCCAAGGAGGUGACUAUUUGGACCAGAUAGAAUUAAUUACAGAGAGUGGUGUUAGGUGUGGACCUUAUGGUGGUGGAGGUGGAAGUGCCUGGACUUCUAGCCGUCCUGGCUGUGUACUUAAGUACUUUUCAGGUAAAGCAGUUUUUAUAAAAGUGUAAUUUUUAAUUCAUAAUCUUGGUGUGCCAUGGCAUUGGAAAUAUAAAAGAAAUAUUUAAGCUCUAUGCAAUGAUUUCCACAACAGAAAACAAGCCACUAAACUUAAACUAACCAUUAUUAACCCUAUAAAAGCUCAAAGGUUUUAUUUGGUUUGGAAAUAAUUGCAUGAAAAGAUUU